GACAGAUAUGCAGGGACAGACUGGCAGAGACAGGGAGUCUCAGUGCCCCCCAGAGUUUCACAGCAAACAUGCCGGAGUCACUGCCAGAAUCUGUGACGGUUCAUCCAGGAGCACCUGUGUCUUCACUGACAGAUUGAUGACUUCAAUCAGUAACACCAAAACUCGCUAUAGCUCGAUUGAAAUUCAAAGGCAAUGUUCUCGAAGACUGGAAAUGACCUUUACAUUUCAAGCGCGCUAUUUUCAGCAAUCACAAUCCUUGUAAAAACGUCAACUCAUGGUAUAACUAAUAACGUUUAUUUUACAUUUUAUUAUGUCAGUGUGGUUAUAAGCCGCUAUAGCUCUGAAGUUCGAGUGUGUGUGUGUGUGUGUGUUGUAGUAGUAGGCCAUUAUUUCUUCGAACAUCUCAGUUUGGGCAGCAGCCACUGGAGAAACCUGUCAAUCAAACACAACAGGAGAAUAAAUAGUAGUUUGCCAUUAAACAUCAGAUCGCUGCUCUUCCUCUG